rnacentral:SRP_RNA from 1 species
ACCGGGCUGGGCAACGCCUGCCUGUAACCCAAGUGGGGGCUUUGAGGUGGUGGAAUGUGGGCCUGGAUUCUUUGGGUUGGGUCUUGUUGUGCUGAUAUCUGGUCUGCCCGUUCCAAGCUGAGAGGUGGGCAACGUGGCCCUGUCGUAGGAUUGGGCUUCGUGGGCUCCUAGAGUGGAGGGGACCGCGUGAGGCUGGUUUCACAGAGCAGCGAAAACCUCCCGCUCCCAGCAGUGGAAGGAUAACGGGCCGUUGCUUCGCAGGCCCGCCGUGGCCCAAUGAGUCAAUCCCGCCUAGACCGUCACCCUU